rnacentral:tRNA from 1 species
GAGCCUGUGGCGCAGUCUGGAUAGCGCGGCUGCCUCCUAAGCAGCAGGUCGGGGGUUCAAAUCCUCCCAGGCUCG